AAACAGCGCCACUGCUAAUGCCACUGGCUGAAGACUGAAAUCAAGAGACUGCUUCACGGGUAGUGAUGAAGUGAAAUUGAAUGAAGAUGAAAUCAAGAGACUGCGGCAAUAAUGCUUCUUGGUGCAUUCUCAAUUUCACUCUUCGCCAAUGUAAAGGUAACAGGUUAGGAAAUGGCUAGUAUGAUGCUGGGUCAAUGAUGUCAUGGAUCCAAUUGUUUCCUGCAAUUCUAGCUGAAGGGAAAGCUAUACUUCAUUGGAAGGCUUAUUAUGUGGGCAAGGUCCUAGGUAUGAUGGAAGGGUUAUAAUGUGGUUGAGAGAUUCUAAGUGGAUUUUUAUUACCUGACAUUCUUAAUUGAUGCAGGUAUUUCAUUUGAUUUGGGUGUGGAUUUGUUGGACGGUGGUUACAAUGGCUGUGAGGGUACUUGGCUGAGGGCGUGGUGUGUGUGGGGGAUGUUUGAAUGGUUGUUGUUUUUGUGAUUAAAUUGAAAUGGAGUAAUUGAUUGUGGUGUUUGAAUAAUUUGCUUCUAACUUGAAGGCUUGUUGCUAUGCUCCUUUUCUCGAGUUACUAGUAUGGAACUUCAACUCCUCUUUUAUUUAUUUA